UAAGGAAUAUUGGUCAAUGGACGAAAGUCUGAACCAGCCAUGCCGCGUGAAGGAUGAAGGCCCUCUGGGUUGUAAACUUCUUUUAUAGGGGACGAAAAAAGCUCAUUCUUGAGCACUUGACGGUACCCUAGGAAUAAGCACCGGCUAACUCCGUGCCAGCAGCCGCGGUAAUACGGAGGGUGCAAGCGUUAUCCGGAUUUACUGGGUUUAAAGGGUGCGUAGGUGGGUUAGUAAGUCAGUGGUGAAAUCUCCGGGCUUAACCCGGAAACUGCCAUUGAUACUAUUAGUCUUGAAUAUCCUGGAGGUGAGCGGAAUAUGUCAUGUAGCGGUGAAAUGCUUAGAUAUGACAUAGAACACCAAUUGCGAAGGCAGCUCACUACGGGAUUAUUGACACUGAGGCACGAAAGCGUGGGGAUCAAACAGGAUUAGAUACCCGUGUAGUCC
rnacentral:rRNA from 1 species